GCACUCGCGGCCCCUAACCUGCCCCGGGAGCCCGGGAGUGCGGCUUGGGAAGGAGGGAAAGGAGUGUGUGAGCAGGGAUUGGCCCGAACCUAUCUCCACGCUCUCCCCCGGGACUGGAGGUGAAGGGGGGCGUGGAGAAAAUCUCAGGGAACAGGGGCUUCGACAGGGGGCUCCCGCCCGCCCGAGCCCCCUCCCCAAAAUGCGAGGCCUGCACAGUAUGCCUUCUCCGCAAAACCUCGGCAAGCGGGUUAGUGAAUUCAGGUCACUAAGAAGCUGAGCCCGCGGAAAGCUGCCCAAACACCCCCUUCUCUAGGGGACUCCCCACGCCCCCCGCCGGGACGCGUUCCCGAAGUCGCCGCCUGGACUGCAACCGCGUGGCCUGCGCCGCGUCCUCUUCUCCGCAGCCUCCGAGGCCCGUGCGACCAAGCUGAAACCGCUUAUUCUCCGGAGCCCCUAUGACCCCGGGUGGGGGCCAGGGCUCGCCUCGAUCGCAGCCCGUGCGCCCUCCGGACUCCAGUUCGCCGGGACUGGGCGACACCAGAAGCGGCUAGUGUGAGUGAAACAAACGGGAAAUUUGCUCUGGCCCGCCUGCCCAGCCACCCACGGCUGCCUGUUGGCCAAUCACCAUUUGACCAGUCCAGGAAGAGCAACUGUGGCAGGCCUGAUUUCCUGGGAGGCCCCAGACUCCCUUUGCCUACCUCUUCCUCUCUGACCCCAUCCUCGCUUUGAUGCCCGGGACCUGCUACCCAGUGCAUUGAGAGAUGACAGUAGCUCGGCCUCUUAGAGCAGUAUGACGAUGGCACAAGUUACUAUUUGCCAAGCACAGAGCAUGACGUCAUGCCCAGAAGCCCAGGAUACAAUCCAGAGACAAUGACAAAUGGGGGAUUCCCGCUUCUGCAGAAGGUGGGGCGACUGGUGCCCAGGGGCCCCCAGGAAGUGCCCUUACCUGACUCCCAGGAUCCUCCUCUGUGACCCUGGGGCCUUCCAACCUGCCAGGUACUUUUCCUGUAUUAUCUUAUUUUAUCCUCCCAAUAGCCUCUGUGAGCAGCACACUCCCCAUUUCACAGACAAGGAAACUGAGGCUUACACAAGUGAAGUGACCUGCUCGACGUUGCACAAGGAAGUGGCAAAGUCAGCCUCUGAAUCCAAGCCGUUGGGCUCUAAAGGCCCUGAUGCCACUCAGCUAACCAUGUGGCCUCUGGACAUCACUGCCAUCUUUUCUCUUACCCUCCUCUCCUCCUUGCACUGUGUUCUGAGGGUCAGCCUGACAACCCGUGUCCCCUGGGCAGAUGUGCAGAGGAAGAUCAAGUUGUUGUUCGCCAGGGGCCGAGGGCAAAUUUCUGGCUUCCCACGGCCACCACUUACUGGGAGUUUCGGAUGAGGUGCUUCACUGCCCUGAGCUCUUCUUCCGGGUCAAGUGGGGAUAAAAAUAAAACAAUACCCACCUUGUGGGAAGACAUGGGAUCCUGAAAAACCUGGCAACGUGCCUGGCACAUGGCAAGUACUCCGUAAAUGUCAGCUAGGAUUAUUUUUAUCAUUGACACCAUAUUUGGGGGCCCCAGGCUGGCAGAGUACCUGCCAGGUGUCACCCCCUUCCUGAGUCCUGACAGUUUGGCUGCAGGCCUGCGUGGAGGCUUGGAAGGAAGAAGGGAGGAAAGGAGGAAAGGAGGAAAGGAGGAAGGGGUCAGGGAAGCCCCUCUGUUUGUUUUCUGUCUCUGAGAACUUCCCAGUCUGACUCUAGCCCCUUCCCCUCCCUGCAGGCACUAACACACAAGUCCCCCAUUCACCAGAAAUCUGUCCCAGGCUCCCUGGCUGCCAUGCUCCCUGGAUAAACCCACCAGGAUGCCCUCAGCCCCUGAGGGAAGAGGAGAGAGCUUACACUCCUCCGGGCCCCUAUUUCCACGCCCAUCACCAGGCCUGGGCCCUCACAAGGCUACACACACACCAGGAAGUGCCAGGAACACAGCCACGCCAGAGCUCUCACAGAUGCCUGUGCACACACACACACACACACACACACCUUUCCAGGCAAACUUGCAUACACUUUCCUAAUGGCCAGGUCUCAGGGGCUCUGUAGGGACCACCUCGGGACAGGACAUGGUCUUCCCUCCCCCAUUCCCAUUCCCCUUCCUGCCCUGUUUCCCUCUGUCUGUCCAUCCAUCUUCAUCAACCAGUCCCAGUGGGCCCCUGCUCACUCCCUCCGUUCCCCCUCCAUCCGUCCGUCCACACAUGGGUCCAUCUGUCUGUCGCCUGCCUGUAGCUAGCCCUGCAGUGAGCAGUCUAUCCCUACCCAGCCCUGCCCAUCACUUCUGCCACAACACCCCUGCAAGAUCCUGUCCCUGUCCUCAGCAGGGUCUCUCAUCAUUUCUCUAGAACCCACCCAUCUAUCCCCCCACCCCUUCAGCUGUGUCCUUCAUCUGUCAAUCUGUCCAUCCAUCCAGCCAUCCAUCCAUCCAUCCAUCCAUCCAUCCAUCCAUCCAGCCAUCCAUCCAUCCAUCCAGCCAUCCAUCCAUCCAUCCAGCCAUCCAUCCUUCCUUCCUUCCUUCUUCCUUCCUUCCCACCUUGGCCCAGCCCCUCUCAGCCCCCUCUGCAUCCCAUCCAUCACUUCUCAGACAGGCCUCCCCAGCCAGGUAGUCACCUCCUAGCGGCUCCAUCUGUCUGUCUGUCUACCAACCCAUCCAUCCAUCUGUCUGCCAGCCCAUCCAUCAUGCCACAGGCCACUUGUCCAUUCUUGCCACCUUUCACAUGUUCCCUAGUUAGGCCCCUGUGGUAUCCCCCAGCCAGCGCAGUGUAGGUGGGGGGCGUGUGUUCAUGUCAGUAGAUAUGUCUGUGGCCGCCAGCAUGCCUUGUGCUGAGCAGAGGGCAAGGGACCUGGAUGAGGAGCUGGGGAGGGGUUGGGGACAGGAAGACUGGGAACCUCUUGGUGGGGGGCACAGCAGCUUCCCUGUGUAUUCUCCCUGUGGUCUGUUGCACCAUAGGCAUCAAUGGCCUGCUCAAAAAUAAAUACACGACUGGAAAACUC